rnacentral:rRNA from 14 species
GCUGCAUGGUUGUCGUCAGCUCGUGCCGUGAGGUGUCAGGUUAAGUCCUAUAACGAGCGCAACCCCUGUUGUUAGUUGCCAGCGAGUAAUGUCGGGAACUCUAAGGAGACUGCCGGUGACAAACCGGAGGAAGGUGGGGACGACGUCAAGUCAUCAUGGCCCUUACGGCCAGGGCUACACACGUGCUACAAUGGAGAGUACAGAGGGUCGCUACACAGCAAUGUGAUGCCAAUCUCAAAAAGCUCUUCUCAGUUCGGAUUGGGGUCUGCAACUCGACCCCAUGAAGGUGGAAUCGCU